ensembl:misc_RNA Metazoa_SRP Metazoan signal recognition particle RNA
GCUGGGCGUGGUGGCGCACGCCUGUAGUCCCAGGUACUCGGGAGGCUGAGGCAGGGGAAUUGCUUGAACCCAGGAGGCAAAGGUUGCAGUGAGCUGAGAUUGUGCCACUGCACUCUAGCCUGGAUAACAGAGCAAGACUGUCUCAA